AACAAAUUACUUUGGAAACUGCGUUCAGGUAUUAAAAACUUUUACUACAGCCAGUAAGCUACUUGAAAACAACUUGGAAUGGGCUGCUCUACAAUUGAAUCAAACUAUUGUCCAACACGAUGACAAAUCUGUGCGUGAAUCUGUCACGACAUGGCUAAAAACUCGGCAUCCUAAACAACUGGGACUACCGGAUGAUCCUGGUAACAUUGUAAUAUCGAGCUCACCACGGUUUAAUAUGUAUGGCAAUGAAUUUGGAUUCGGGAAGCCUGUUGCAAUUCUUUGUGGAUAUGCAAACAAGUUCGAUGGUAAAGUGACACUGUAUCAAGGGAGUGAAGGUGGAGGAAGCAUCGACACCGCGAUUUGCCUCAACCCAAAGAUAAUGAGUGCACUGGAAUGUGAUGAGGAGUUCUGGAUGCUCUUGAUAGUUCAAGUAACUAGUCGACGUAACUGGUCCAGAACAUGCGAAUAAAAAAAAUCCCAGGACGGGACAAUUUUCUGUUAAACGACAUUAUAACAUCUCACGUAUAAAUCAAAAUUUUAAAAUUAAGCCCUUUUGUGAUUUUUUCGGUUUAUAUAUAGUCUGUCAGGUACCCGUCUCUAAUAAGAAGCAUUUUCAUGAUUUGUUUAGAUGAUUAUUAAUUCGAGUUGCUUAAAAAGAUUGUAAUGUUCCAUUAAUGUGUCUUUUAAUAAGAGGACCUAUUUACUUAUUUCACUUGGAAAGUUAGUUUAAUAAAUCUUUCAUCUCCUAUGAGUGUACUGUUAUAUAAUCUCUAAAACGAGUCUGCAAUAUAAAUCCCAGAUCUUAACAAUAUGUUGACGAGUGUUAAUACAAAUAAAAUAUCUUAGGCUCAUUGGGUUAAUCCUCCUCAAUUUAUUUAUUCAUGGCCGCCAAGACCUAAGAAUGUUACUCUCUACCCAAAGACAAAGAGUACCGAAGAAAAUGAAUAAAUCGAUGGCCUUUUGCUUUGCUUUCUUCUUAAAUAAUAGUGGUCAAUGGCUCCUAUAACCCCUAAUAAUUCAAUACCUCUUGGGAGUACAUUGUUAGUGAAAGAAAAUGCCUGUAAUUUGCAGUCGGCAUAGUUUAAGUCUGACGUGAUUGUUAUUGUUAUAUACUCCCUCUGUCCCAUCCAAUUCUUAUCAUUUGAAAUGAAGUACUCGGCACGCAUCUUAAGGCUCAUAAAUAAUAUAGUUUCAUAACAUGUUUUUAAAAUUUUUUUUUUCUGAAUAAAAAUUUAAACAUUAAACUUUUAUUCGAAAAAAGAAAAUUUUAAAAAUAAGUUAUAUAACCAUAUUUUUCAUGAGCCUUAAAAUGCGUGUCGAGCAGUCCCCUCCAAACGAUAAGAAUUGGAGGGGACGGAGGGAGUAUAAAAUAAGUAUAUUAUGACCAGAGUAACCAAGUAUCAAAAUUUGGUUUUGAUACUUAAAUCUAGGGGUGGCAAUCGUUUCGUUUCGUAUACUUUCGUUUCGUGUAUUUUCGUGUUUCGUGUACUCGAAGGUGAAACCCGUAUCCGCCCGUUAUUAAUUUCGUGUACCUAAUUUGAAACCCGUAUCCGUUUCGGAUCGUUUCGUGUAUAUUUCGUGUACUUUUCGUGUAUAUUAUAUAUAAAAAUAUUAAUAUAUUUUUUAAUCAAAAAAUGGAUUUAAUAUAUAUUUUCUUUAUAAAUUUAUUAAAUGUGAAUGAUAUAUAUUAUACUUGUAUACAAUUUUUUAUAAAUUUGUUAAUGUAUCAACAAUAUAUAUCCACACAUACAUAUAAAUAUAUACUUUAAACUCAAUUAUAUAUUUAAUAUAUCAUUACAUAUAUAUAAUAAAUAUAAUCUACAAAUAUUUCGUAUACUUUCGUGUAUUUCGUGUACCCCAAGUGAAAACCCAUAUCCGACACGAAAUCUAUCGUGUAAUUUCGUGUUCGUGUACUUUCGUGUUUCGUGUAUCGAAAAUCAAAACCCGUAUCCAUUUUUUUCGUGUCGUUUCGUUUCGUGUUAGCGUGUUACGUGUCAAAUUGCCAGGUUUAAACCGCAAAAUCCGCAUAACCCAAUCCGAUAUUAAUCCAAUCCAAACCGAAACCGAAAUGAGGUUUACGGUUUCGGUUCGACUAAUUUAAAAAACCGUGGUUUGUGGGUUGGUUUCGGUUUUAUAUUAACCCAACCCGUUAUAAAACCGAACCGCAUAUUUCUAUAUAUACAAUAUAAAUAUUUAAUAUUAUAUAUAUAUACAAAAUAUUAAUUUUAUAUAAAUAUAUUAAUUUUUUAGUUUAUACUUGUUAGGUUGUUGUUUAGUUACUUACCUUAUCAAUACCAACUACGAGUCAUAUCAAUUCAGUAAUUCACGACUUCGAAUAUUCAAGUUUAUGCAUUUUAUUAGACUAAAUUUUUUAUUUUAAUUUAACUAUGUGAAAUUGUGUAAAUGGAGACAAAAUGAUACUUUAUUUUCUAAUAUUAUUCAUGAAUCCUCAUCUCUGAUUAUAAGCCUUAGUUAUAAACCGAUCAAUCCGCUUAACCGAACCAUCAAAAACCGCACCGCUUGGUCCGGGUUAAUUGGUUUGCGGGUCACGCGUUGGUUUGAGAUUUUUAAAAACCGCUAAUGUAUGGUUUGGUUCCGGUUCUACCUCCAAACCGAACCGCGAUCAUCCCUACUGCCAGUCUGCCACAUAUAUAAUUCAAGCUCAACUUUUAUCCCAGCUUCUGUGAUCAUGUGUGAAGAAAAAUAAAACUAGUCAUUUCACUCCGACCAGUUUCGACUCCGGUCUGAAUAUAUCAAUAAUUAAGAAAGAUAUUACGAGACGGUUUGACUGGAUUUAAAAUUGUGACUACUAAUUUCUGAUUUUAAAUUAAUUUCUGGUUUAUUUCAAAUUUUAAAUUAAUUUCUCAUCUAUUACACAAACAUUGAUAUUUUGCGGUUGUUAUUACCUCUUUUACACAUUUUGUCGUAAAUUAAUAGUAGUAAUCAUAUAUCAUCUAUUUUGUUCCUCAUGGAGCAUUUCAGACUCCUUUGAAAUAAUAAAUGCACUAUGUACUCUAGAAGUCCUUCAUCACUGAUAUUAGACAGGUGUUGAAGCAUUAGAGAACUAACCCUCUGCUUAUUGUUUCCAGUACUGUGUUGCUGUCAUAUAACUCCUCAAGAACCGAAAACAUUUAUUCAGAAUCUUUGCAACUUCGGACAUCUGCUGAUUUUCAACAACUCAAAUCUCAGAAAUGCACUUUGAUCUUUACCCUAGGCACUCAUAACUGGUUAUACUCAUACUUAAACCCUUGGCAAAUCAAAAUACAUUUCGAUGCAGCACGACACAGUUGGCUUCAAAAAUCUUCCUCCCUGAUGCAAAAAGUACAUCCAAUAUAUAAUCAAAUAUGCUAGAGACCCUAAAAGAUUUCUAAAAUUAAAUGGAUCAAAUUUUUAUAGUUCUGUAUCAAUUUGGACCCAGAGCCCCAAUUAAAAUUUGCACACUGAUAUUUUUGAACCAUUGUGGGAAAAGAAAACCUUGAGCAUUGCUCUUUAUAUAGGAAGCAAAUCAUCAAGUCUUAUAUUAAGCGAAAAAGAAUACCAGUGUAUACGUGGAAUAUGUUGAAUCCUGAACCAUUCUGGCCGUCCCUUCUUGUAUUUUUCUCUCAGAAGAGGACACCCUUCCGUCUCUAGCAACUGAAGAGGAUGUGAUUUUUCAAACAGGGGCAAAGUCUUCAAAUUCUCACAAUCAAAUAUGAGUAACGUCUCUUGUAUAUAAAAUAAGUCGUGGAUUUGGUUCUAGGAGUCUAUAAUUAUGGAAAGCAGCCAGAGUGUUAAAAUUUGGUUUUGAUACUUAUAAACUAGAAAUCGAAAAAGCUAAAUCAAAAAUUAAAAUAGUCAAAAACAGUAUAUACUAUACUAAAAAGUAUUGCGUCCGUAAAUGUUAGAUUGAUAAAUAUGGUUACGGUUUGAAUACCAGGGAGAGAGACUAAUUUGAAUGAAAUAAUUUUUAUUUAAUUAAUACUAUUUUCAUAAACUUAUUAUUAGAAAUACAUUAACUUUAUGUAGAUUUUAGUAUUAGUUUCAUUCUAUGAUAUAAAAAUAAACUUUGGGUUGGAAUUGAUUUUAAUAAUAUUUUGUGGAGUGUCUGGGUUCCGAAAUACGAAUGGAGGACAUAUCAUUAACGAUUAUUUCUGCCGGAUGGUUUAAUUUUAUUUUUGUUAUACAUGUGCAGGGGAACUCGGAAGUAAUUAGAAAGCGUUUAUUUUUUAUUUUGUUUUGUUUUGCUGUAAUCUGUAAGAAUAUUGUACAGCAUUUAUUACCAUAUUGAACUGAUAUAUUUUAUUUUAACAUUUUAAAAUAUUAAUAACAUACUAUUUUUAAAUUAUAGCCAAUCAAUAUAGCCAGUACCAUUGAAGCAAAAUGUCUUACAGGUUCAGCAAAUAUUACAUAAGAUCUCACUGGUCCAAUUUAGCCGACGACUAUAGCCAACACCGUUGGAGAUGCUCUUAGCAUUAGAACUCGGAAGUCAAACAAAACAAAGUUCAAAAGAAGAAACCUCCUUCAACAUCUAUAUAUAACCAUAUAUCCAUAUCCAGGUUUAUCAUAUUGAUAAAAUCAUGAGCUCUCCAACAAUUCAACAGAUAUCAGAGUGUUUUAUCAAACCAUCUCACCUUUCACAGGAUUCUAAACAAGUCAUUCCUCUUGCAACAUGGGACUUAGCUAUGCUCUCUUAUCACUACAUCCAAAAGGGGCUGCUGUUUAAAAAGCCUGAUGCUCAAGAUAACUUCACUCAAGUUUUUCUACAGAAGCUUAAAGAUGCUCUUUCUCUUACCCUUGCUCAUUUUUAUCCAUUAGCAGGCCGCCUCGCGAAAAAACAAGAUUCGCAUUCUUUUGCUCUGUUUGUAGAUUGCGUUAACAGUCCUGGUGCAAGAUUUGUCCACUCUUCAGUUGAUACUACAGUUUCUGACAUACUUUCACCACCUUAUGUUCCAAUAAUUGUUCAGUCAUUUUUCGACCAUCAUAAGGCUGUCAAUUACGACGGCCUCAACAUGUCCUUGUUAACGGUUCAAGUGACUGAGCUAAUUGACGGAAUUUUCAUUGGUUGUUCAGUUAAUCACUCCGUUUCUGAUGGCACAUCUUAUUGGAAUUUUUUCAACACUCUGUCUAGAAAUUUCCAAGGCUCAGGAGUCACGAGUCAACCGAUCCAUGACCGCUGGUUUCCUGAUGGUCAUGGCCCAUUUCUCAGUCUCCCUUUCACGCGAGACGAUCAAUUUAUCAGCAGGUAUGAAGCGCCAAUUCUUCAAGAAAGAAUCUUCCAUUUCUCAGUUGCGAAUUUAGCAAGAAUCAAAGCAAAAACAAAUGCUCUUUGCAAAGACAGAGCCGUCAGGAUCUCAUCUCUACAAGCCUUGUCAGCUAUAAUUUGGCGUUGCCUGACACGUGUACGUGGCCUGACAAAAGAUCAAAUUACUAGUUGUUGCAUGUCUGCGAAUAACAGAUUGAGAUUAGACCCCCUUUUGUCAACAAAUUACUUUGGGAAUUGCGUUCAGGUUCUAAAAACUUUUACUACAGCCAGCAAGCUGCUUGAAAACAACUUGGAAUGGGCUGCUCUACAAUUGAAUCAAACUAUUGUCCAACACGAUGACAAAUCUGUGCGUGAAUCUGUCGCGACAUGGCUAAAAACUCGGCAUCCUAAACAACUGGGACUACCGGAUGAUCCUGGUAACAUUGUAAUAUCGAGCUCACCACGGUUUAAUAUGUAUGGC
rnacentral:lncRNA from 1 species